rnacentral:lncRNA from 1 species
CCAAAUCCAGUCUAAAAGAACAAAAUGAAGAGGAAAAAUUCAAAGGAUUCUUUCCAAAACCAAUUCCAAUUAUUAAACCUAUUUCAAAGCCCAUUCCCAUUAUUAAACCUAUUCCAAAGUCAAUUCCUAUUGUUAAACCUAUUCCUAUUCCAGUUUAUAAGCCUAUAUCAAAACCAAUUCCCAUCGUUAAGCCUAUUCCGAAGCCAUUUCUGAUUGUUAAACCAAUUCCUAAUGACGAAGAAAAAUUCAAAGGUGUUUUUCCAAAACCUAUUCCCAUAGUUAAGCCAAUUCCAAAGCCAAUUCCCAUUGUUAAGCCUAUCCCUAUUCCAAUAUAUAAGCCUAUACCAAAAUCAGUUCCCAUUGUGAAACCAAUUCCUAUUAUUAAACCAAUACUAAAGCCAAAUCCCAUUGUUAAGCCAAUUCCAAAGCUGAUUCCCAUUGUUAAGCCUAUACCAAACCCAUUAAGAGUGAAAAAGUCUAUCCCUGCUUUU